CAGUCGCCGCGGUAAUACCGAGGGUGCGAGCGUUAAUCGGAUUUACUGGGCGUAAAGCGUGCGUAGGCGGCUUCUUAAGUCGGAUGUGAAAUCCCUGAGCUUAACUUAGGAAUUGCAUUCGAUACUGGGAAGCUAGAGUAUGGGAGAGGAUGGUAGAAUUCCAGGUGUAGCGGUGAAAUGCGUAGAGAUCUGGAGGAAUACCGAUGGCGAAGGCAGCCAUCUGGCCUAAUACUGACGCUGAGGUACGAAAGCAUGGGGAGCAAACAGGAUUAGAUACCCCGUAGUCCCUGUCUCUUAUACA
rnacentral:rRNA from 1 species